rnacentral:rRNA from 1 species
CCUACGGGUGGCAGCAGUCGAGAAUCAUUCACAAUGGGGGAAACCCUGAUGGUGCGACGCCGCGUGGGGGAAUGAAGGUCUUCGGAUUGUAAACCCCUGUCAUGUGGGAGCAAAUUAAAAAGAUAGUACCACAAGAGGAAGAGACGGCUAACUCUGUGCCAGCAGCCGCGGUAAUACAGAGGUCUUAAGCGUUGUUCGGAAUCACUGGGCGUAAAGCGUGCGUAGGCUGUUUCGUAAGUCGUGUGUGAAAGGUGCGGGCUGAACCCGCGGACGGCACAUGAUACUGCGAGACUAGAGUAAUGGAGGGGGAAGCGGAAUGCUCGGUGUAGCAGUGAAAUGCGUAGAUAUCGAGAAGAACACUCGUGGCGAAGGCGGGUUCCUGGACAUUAACUGACGCUGAGGCACGAAGGCCAGGGGAGCGAAAGGGAUUAGAUACCCGUGUAGUC